rnacentral:rRNA from 1 species
UAGUACGGCGAGUGAACCGGGAAAAGCUCAAAUUUGAAAUCUGGCGUCCUCAGGGCGUCCGAGUUGUAAUCUAUAGAGGCGUUUUCCGUGCCGGACCGUGUCCAAGUCCCUUGGAACAGGGUAUCAAAGAGGGUGACAAUCCCGUACUUGACACGACUACCGGUGCUCUGUGAUACGUCUUCUACGAGUCGAGUUGUUUGGGAAUGCAGCUCAAAAUGGGUGGUGAGUUCCAUCUAAAGCUAAAUAUUGGCGAGAGACCGAUAGCGAACAAGUACCGUGAGGGAAAGAUGAAAAGCACUUUGGAAAGAGAGUUAAACAGUACGUGAAAUUGUUGAAAGGGAAACGAUUGAAGUCAGUCGUGACCGAGAGGCUCAGCCGGCUCUGCCGGUGUAUUCCCCUCGGUCGGGUCAACAUCAGUUUUGUCCGGUGGAUAAGGGCGGUAGGAAGGUGGCACCCACGGGUGUGUUAUAGCCUGCCGUCACAUACACUGGGUGAGACUGAGGAAUGCAGCUCGCCUUUAUGGCCGGGGUUCGCCCACGUCCGAGCUUAGGAUGUUGACAUAAUGGCUUUAAACGAC